CCUACGGGAGGCUGCAGUGAGGAAUAUUGGUCAAUGGACGAAAGUCUGAACCAGCCACGCCGCGUGAAGGAAGACGGCUCUAUGAGUUGUAAACUCCUUUUGUACGAGAGUAAAAGAAGAUACGUGUAUCUGUCUGAAAGUAUCUUACGAAUAAGGAUCGGCUAACUCCGUGCCAGCAGCCGCGGUAAUACGGAGGAUCCAAGCGUUAUCCGGAUUUAUUGGGUUUAAAGGGUGCGUAGAUGGUUGGGUAAGUCAGGAGUGAAAUGCCGGGGCUCAACUGUGGAAUUGCCAUUGAUACUGGUAGGCUGGAGUGCAGUUGAGGUAGGCGGAAUUCGUGGUGUAGCGGUGAAAUGCUUAGAUAUCACGAAGAACACCGAUUGCGAAGGCAGCUUACUAAACUGCGACUGACGUUGAGGCACGAAAGCGUGGGGAGCAAACAGGAUUAGAUACCCUAGUAGUC
rnacentral:rRNA from 1 species